AAAUCUGGCACCUUCGGUGUCCGAGUUGUAAUUUGAAGAUUGUAACCUUGGGGUUGGCUCUUGUCUAUGUUUCUUGGAACAGGACGUCACAGAGGGUGAGAAUCCCGUGCGAUGAGAUGCCCAAUCCUAUGUAAGGUGCUUUCGAAGAGUCGAGUUGUUUGGGAAUGCAGCUCUAAGUGGGUGGUAAAUUCCAUCUAAAGCUAAAUAUUGGCGAGAGACCGAUAGCGAACAAGUACAGUGAUGGAAAGAUGAAAAGAACUUUGAAAAGAGAGUGAAAAAGUACGUGAAAUUGUUGAAAGGGAAGGGUUUGAGAUCAGACUCGAUAUUUUGUGAGCCUUGCCUUCGUGGCGGGGUGACCCGCAGCUUAUCGGGCCAGCAUCGGUUUGGGCGGUAGGAUAAUGGCGUAGGAAUGUGACUUUGCUUCGGUGAAGUGUUAUAGCCUGCGUUGAUGCUGCCUGCCUAGACCGAGGACUGCGAUUUUAUCAAGGAUGCUGGCAUAAUGAUCCCAAACCGCCCG
rnacentral:rRNA from 1 species